rnacentral:rRNA from 1 species
CCUACGGGUGGCAGCAGUGAGGAAUAUUGGUCAAUGGGCGAGAGCCUGAACCAGCCAUGUCGCGUGCAGGAAGACGGCCCUACGGGUUGUAAACUUCUUUUGUCAGAGAGCAAUUGAGUCCACGUGUAUGCUUAGCGAGAGUACCUGCAGAUAAGGCAUCGGCUAACUCCGUGCCAGCAGCCGCGGUAAUACGGAGGAUGCGAGCGUUAUCCGGUUUUAUGGGGUUUAAGGGGUGCGUAGGCGGAAUAUCAGUUCGACGGUAAAAAUUCGGGGCUCAAACCGGUCGUCCCGUUAAAACUGAUGUUCUUGAGUGUGGGUGAAGUAGGCGGAAUGCAUGGUGUAGCGGUGAAAUGCAUAGAGAUCACACAGAACACCGAUUGCGAAGGCAGCAUACCGGUCUCUAACUGACGCUGAAGCACGAAAGCGUGGGUAGCGAACAGGAUUAGAUACCCGAGUAGUC